rnacentral:rRNA from 1 species
AUUGAACGCUGGCGGCAGGCCUAACACAUGCAAGUCGAGCGGCAGCACAGAGGGACUUGUUCCUUGGGUGGCGAGCGGCGGACGGGUGAGUAAUGCCUGGGAAAUUGCCCUGAUGUGGGGGAUAACCAUUGGAAACGAUGGCUAAUACCGCAUGAUGCCUACGGGCCAAAGAGGGGGACCUUCGGGCCUCUCGCGUCAGGAUAUGCCCAGGUGGGAUUAGCUAGUUGGUGAGGUAAUGGCUCACCAAGGCGACGAUCCCUAGCUGGUCUGAGAGGAUGAUCAGCCACACUGGAACUGAGACACGGUCCAGACUCCUACGGGAGGCAGCAGUGGGGAAUAUUGCACAAUGGGCGCAAGCCUGAUGCAGCCAUGCCGCGUGUAUGAAGAAGGCCUUCGGGUUGUAAAGUACUUUCAGUCGUGAGGAAGGUUGUAGUGUGAAUAGCACUAUGAUUUGACGUUAGCGACAGAAGAAGCACCGGCUAACUCCGUGCCAGCCGCCGCAGUAACAC